AGAGUUUGAUCAUGGCUCAGGAUGAACGCUGGCGGCGUGCUUAAUACAUGCAAGUCGAACGAAGAGCCUUUGUAGCAAUACGGAGGUUUCUUAGUGGCGAACGGGUGCGUAACGCGUUGGUGACCUGCCCCAAAGUGUGGGAUAACAGUUCGAAAGGACUGCUAAUACCGCAUGUGGUCACAGGGUUUAGAAACCUGUGAUUAAAGCAGUAAUGCGCUUUGGGAGGGACCUGCGUCCCAUCAGCUAGUUGGUGAGGUAAUGGCCCACCAAGGCUACGACGGGUAGGGGACCUGAGAGGGUGGUCCCCCACACUGGCACUGAAACACGGGCCAGACACCUACGGGUGGCAGCAGUAGGGAAUAUUGGGCAAUGGGCGAAAGCCUGACCCAGCAACGCCGCGUGCAUGAUGAAGGUCUUCGGAUCGUAAAGUGCUUUUCUGAGAGAUGAGAAAGGACAGUAUCUCAGGAAUAAGUCUCGGCUAACUACGUGCCAGCAGCCGCGGUAAAACGUAUGAGGCAAGCGUUAUCCGGAUUUACUGGGCGUAAAGCGCGUGCAGGUGGUUCGGUAAGUUGGAUGUGAAAGCUCCUGGCUUAACUGGGAGAGGUCGUUCAAUACUACCGGACUUGAGAGCAGUAGAGGGAGGUGGAAUUCCCGGUGUAGUGGUGAAAUGCGUAGAUAUCGGGAGGAACACCAGUGGCGAAAGCGGCCUCCUGGACUGUUUCUGACACUCAGACGCGAAAGCUAGGGUAGCAAACGGGAUUAGAGACCCCGGUAGUCCUAGCUGUAAACGAUGUGAACUUGGCGUCGGCGGGUUCAAAGCCGUCGGUGCCGAAGCUAACGCGAUAAGUUCACCGCCUGGGGACUACGGCCGCAAGGUUAAAACUCAAAGGAAUUGACGGGUCCCCGCACAAGCAGCGGAGCGUGUGGUUUAAUUCGAUGUACACGAAGAACCCUUACCCAGGUUUGACAUGUACGUGGUAAGGGAAGCGAAAGCAGACCGACCCGCAAGGGAGCCUACACAGGGUGUUGCAUUGGCUGGUCGUCAGCU
rnacentral:rRNA from 1 species